rnacentral:rRNA from 1 species
AACCACCUGGGGAGUACGCCCGCAAGGGUGAAACUCAAAGGAAUUGACGGGGGCCCGCACAAGCGGUGGAACAUGUGGUUUAAUUCGAUGAUACGCGAGGAACCUUACCUGGGCUUAAAUGCAUUUUGUAUUGCCGGGAAACCGGCAUUCCCUCCGGGGCUACUUGCAAGGUGCUGCAUGGUUGUCGUCAGCUCGUGCCGUGAGGUGUCGGGUUAAGUCCCAUAACGAGCGCAACCCUUACCGUUAGUUGCCAUCGGGUCAAGCCGGGGACUCUAGCGGGACUGCCACCGUAAGGUGAGAGGAAGGUGGGGAUGACGUCAAAUCAGCACGGCCCUUAUGCCCAGGGCUACACACGUGUUACAAUGGCCGGUACAAAGGGCAGCUACUGCGCAAGCAGGUGCGAAUCCUUAAAGCCGGUCCCAGUUCGGAUUGGGGUCUGCAACCCGACCCCAUGAAGUUGGAAUCGCUAGUAAUCGGAUAUCAGCAACGAUCCGGUGAAUACGUUCCCGGGCCUUGUACACACCGCCCGUCAAACCAUGGAAGCUGGGGGUACCUGAAGUCUGUAACCGCAAGGAGCGGCCUAGGGUAAAUCCGGUAACUAGGGUUAAGUCGUAACAAGGUAGCCG